GACGAACGCUGGCGGCGUGCUUAACACAUGCAAGUCGAACGGAAAGGCCCUGCUUUUGUGGGGUGCUCGAGUGGCGAACGGGUGAGUAACACGUGAGUAACCUGCCCUUGACUUUGGGAUAACUUCAGGAAACUGGGGCUAAUACCGGAUAGGAUCUCCUGCUGCAUGGUGGGGGUUGGAAAGUUUCGGCUGUUGGGGAUGGACUCGCGGCUUAUCAGCUUGUUGGUGGGGUAGUGGCUUACCAAGGCUUUGACGGGUAGCCGGCCUGAGAGGGUGACCGGCCACAUUGGGCCUGAGAUACGGCCCAGAAUCCUACGGGAGGCAGCAGUGGGGAAUAUUGCACAAUGGGCGGAAGCCUGAUGCAGCAACGCCGCGUGCGGGAUGACCGCCUUCGGGUUGUAAACCGCUUUCGCCUGUGCCGAAGCGUGAGUGACGGUAAUGGGUAAAGAAGCACCGGCUAACUACGUG
rnacentral:rRNA from 1 species